GCACAUUGAUACUGUAAUUAGAAAUAUUAAGCCCGAUCCCAUCUGAUCUCGGAAGCUAAGCAGGGUCGGGCCUGGUUAGUACUUGGGUGGGAGACCAUCUAGGAAGACCAGGUGCUGUAGGCG
rnacentral:rRNA from 1 species